rnacentral:rRNA from 1 species
UACGUAGGGGGCUAGCGUUGCUCGGAAUCACUGGGCGUAAAGGGUGCGUAGGCGGGUCUUUAAGUCAGGGGUGAAAUCCUGGAGCUCAACUCCAGAACUGCCUUUGAUACUGAGGAUCUUGAGUUCGGGAGAGGUGAGUGGAACUGCGAGCGUAGAGGUGAAAUUCGUAGAUAUUCGCAAGAACACCAGUGGCGAAGGCGGCUCACUGGCCCGAUACUGACGCUGAGGCACGAAAGCGUGGGGAGCAAACAGG